GAAGAAGAAGAAGAACCAGUACCACUCCCCAGCCUCUCUUCCUUCCAUGGCCGCUCUUCAAAAUUCAAACCACAAACCCAUUGUCCUUUCUCAUCUUCUUUCAUUUGCCCUUUCUGUAACCCUAAGCUCACCAUUUCCUUCUCUCGCAAUCCCUUCUCUUAACUCCCUCUCCUCUCCACUUUCUCCCACUACUCCAUUUUCUCAAUCCAAGAACUUACCAACUGGACUAGAAAACGGGAA
rnacentral:misc_RNA from 1 species